rnacentral:tRNA from 1 species
GGCCUGGUGGUCUAGUAGUAUGAUUCCUUGUUAGGGCCGAGUACCGUUUCGAGGAGGUCCUGGGUUCAAUUCCCAGCCAGGCCC